rnacentral:lncRNA from 1 species
UACACAUCUCAGAUGUAGCAUAUGAAGUUACUACAGACAUUGGAGUAAAAGUUACCGAUAUGAAGCAUGAAGUACAUAAUAACUUAGGAACAAAAUUAAAUGUGACCCUAAAGCCAGAUUCCAGGAUCCAAUACAUAAGGUGUCCUCCAAAAGAAUACAUUAAGAUUCCUCUGCAAAGAAACAUCUUUGUAACAGUAAUAGCAAAACGUGAGGAUAAGAAUGAGCUGAUGUGCAUGAACUUCAUGGUUCCAAGUGAUCGAUCAAUCAUUGUCAUUGAUAAUGGGAUGAUCAAGUUUGCCAAGUAUGGCUCCCUGUGGAAGGAUGAGGAUGGCCGAUAUUACAUCUAAAGUAUGUGGUGAGUUAAGAACUCAGGACUAAUUAUCAUAACUAGUGAUGUAAAAGAGAAUGGAAGGCACAUCUACAAACUAUUAACACAGUUGGUAAUUGGCAUAGACUUCAAGAAAGGCACUGUUCCAUUUGCUCGAUAAUCUAGUAUGCAAUAUAAUGUAUUUAUAACUGUAGUCUAUUAUUUAAUGGGCACCAGAAAGUGUGGGUAGGGAAAGUGUGCAAGCGUGUAAGUGUAUAAAGGAGUAGGAAAGAAGUAUGGCUGGUUAAUUCCUAAAUCAUAAGGCUUGGCUGAUUUUUGCCACCUCUUCUUCGUCUGUGCUGAAAGUCUCCCUUCUAGAAUCCACAAGAUUUUUGAAGUGCUCAGUAGACUUACGCAAAGCAGAAAAAUGUGUUUUGGCCGAACCAUAUCAUUCAAAAAUUAAAAUGUUUGGCAGAAUUUUAUUCAUGUUGCAGUUCAGCUCCUCAACUUUUUGCUCCACAAAAAAGAUUCAGAGAAAGAAAUAGUCAGAUGAACCGAAGGGGUGCGAAAAUUGGCUAUUCAGUGUACUGCAGAAAAUAUACAUGAUAUAAAUAUUAUGUAUAUCUUUUGUAGUACACUGAAAGGCGCAUUUUACAGCCAUUUGAUUCAAAGAAAAAGUGAGAAAAAGUAACCAAUUCGAGGAAAAAAGAGAAGUUUUUUUUAAUCUGUAUAUAUAUGUAAAUAUAGUUGUUGUUUUUUUGUAACCUAGCCAGCAAUCAUCUUUUUUUCCCAAUUAAGUAUUAUUUUCUUAGUGUCACAGGCAGAACUCCAAAUACACAUGCAAACAAACAUGUUUGUCACUUGCAUGAGUCAUUUGUUGAGUUGUACAUCGGUAUGACAGUUUGGAAGUGGGCAAUUCGGACAUUCACCCUAUUGGCCAAAAUUCAGAAAAAAAGCAGUUUGAAACAAAAUGAAUACUCUGUGUAAAAGAUCGCACACUAUCCUGCGUAGUGAGUGCUGAGAAUGGUGGACUCUCCCAGUGUCCUCUGCCUUCUAGUAAUGUGUGAAAAAUCUGCCUAGGAGGUCUGCCAAUAAAGAUUGAUGCAUGCACAAGUAUAUUUGCCCCAUCUUCUGUGCAGAUAGUGAUGAUGGGAAGUCCAUAAAGACUAAUGGUUGGUUUUCAAACACUUUCUAAUCCAAGGUGCAUGUAUAUGAAAGAAGGAUUCUGUCAUAUAUUAAUAGAAGACAUGAGUUUUUUUCUAUUUUUUUUUACUUAAAAUUCAGUUACAAAUAUUUAUAUAUUUCCUAUCAAAACGUGAUGAGAGGAUUAUUAAAUUAAAAAUAGUUUUGAGGUGACAGUUGUAAAAUUUCAAGCAUUUCAAAUUUUGCUUGCUCUGCUAUUCUGUCACUUGUGCCUGUCUUGCAGAGACUUGAACAUGAAUACUUCCUCCGUCUAAAGUUCGAGCACUCCCUCACAACCAACUGAUGGGCCAUAAUUAUGAUUAAACUGCCACUCUCAUUAAAAAUGUUCAAUCUUCCCAAUUUAAAAAAACUCUCUAUUUUUUUUUUUUUAUUAUUGCUAUCUCAACCUUUGGACCAAAUUGUAAUUUUUGUACCUACUGCUUACUUGUUAGACUUAUUGUUCACUAUACAGUUACACUUUUCAUUCAUACCAACCAGGUUUAGAGUAUUGGACUAUAAACAGAAAUGCCACAUUUUGUCCUACAUAUCAUUGGUAUAUCCAACAGACAUAUACAAAUGUGUUUAAAUGCCCUGACUAUGUGACCUGCGUGGUGUCUUCAUGAAUAAAGGUUCUUAAAAAUGCUAUGUGACUAAAUAAAAACAGACAAUUUACAGUAAACUUUAUAUUAAAACUUGUGUAUCUUUUGAUUUCUUCUGUAAUCUUUGACACAUAAAGAACUUUUUAAGCCUUCAAAGUCUAUGAAUGGCAUAGUUAUAGAGUAUGUUGAUCCCAUUUAAGUUUUUUUCUAUUUGUAGGCCAGAUGAAAAUGAGAAGAACUCGCACUAUCCAUUCAUUGUCUGAAAUGACCAGGUUUCUUCAAUGUCAAAGGAGUUCUUUCAAAUUUAAAUCUAAGCUUUUUCUUCAAAUAAAAUCAACUCAACAAAUCAACACAUUCAUGAGAAUGGAGGGUGAGGGGAGACUGAUCUACAACUGGAAAAAAGGGAAGGGAUUGUGAAAAUGGACAACCACUUAUUAUGGGGACUGAUAUUGGAAAAGAAAUUACUACUGGUUAUGGGAACAGGAAUUUGAAAAUAGAUUACUACUGUCUAUGGAAAGAGAUGGAGAGAAUGGGCUACUACUGGCUAUGGGAAGAGGAGAGUGAGAAUGGGCUAUUACUGACUAUAAUGGGGGAACAGGUUGAAUGGGCUACUA